CCUCUAUGUCACUUGGUCUCUGAUAGAGAGUGGUCUCAUUGACAUUUAAUCCACAUCUUCUUAUUUUGAUAUGAACUACAAGAGUAUUGUAAAGAAAUAUCUGAAGUUAAGGACUACAGUACUAACUGAAUUCGGUAUUUCGAAAAGGAAAGUAUGCCUUCGUAUUAUCUUGAAGUAAUAUCAAAGAUUCAUACCCGCAAGUAUCGUUGGUAAUAUAUUUCUGCUCUUUGUAGGCUCUUACGAGGAUAGAAGUUUCGAUUGAACAUUCAAGUGAAGUGGUUCGCUAAGUAAAGAGCAAUUGUUAAUAAAUUAAUGUUAAUAAACAAAUACCACACAUUCAAGGUUAUGAUAUAAAAGAAGGGAAAUAAGAUACCAAGGAAUAGAAAAAAAGCCUAACCCUACAAAAUAAAAAGAAAAGAGACAAAAAAUCCCACAAACGGUUACAUAGAAUAACAAAAUAUUUAGCAAAUUUAAAAAAACAAAAUAUAUUACGAUAAAAUAAGCUGUUCUUGCUACACGUAAAACACCCAUCAACACAAUUAAUCAAAAUACAGGUGAACAGACAUUUCUACAAGUUACAGAAGAAGUUCAAAUUCGCAUUCUUAAAAAAAAUAUGAAUAGAUUAAACGACAGAACAAUACAAUGAUCUGCAAUCGACUUAAAUUUUCCAAAGAACAUUAAAAGAAAAAGAAACCAUGACUCACCCAAUAGAACAACCUCCAAAACAAAACAAAGCUGUACGAUUAAACAUGAUAUGAAAAUAUGUAGAUGAUGUUUGAUUGUAACUGAGACAGCUAUCCACUAGAAAACAAAUGAGGCGGAUAUGAGCAUAUACUAGUGACUAGGCA
rnacentral:lncRNA from 1 species